rnacentral:lncRNA from 11 species
UUGUGGUCAACUUCCAGCAGAAAUCAACCACAGUUAUGCUGCAAGACCUAGGAAUUCCUAGAGUGAUGUUUACUCAGGUAAUUUCCUUUCAUCUAGGCAGUAUAUUGAGCAAUUUCAUUAUAACUGACUGAAAAAUCUUGGGCGUUCCAGCUAGCAUUUUGCUUUACUGAUGACAGUCAUUUUGGCUCAGCAUCUCCCAGGACUGAGAAAACCCAGAGCAGGUGAGUUGCCAAGCAUCAGAGCUGCU